rnacentral:lncRNA from 1 species
GCGGCCUCGGGGCACGGCGGGCCCAGGCCGGAGGAGCUUUCGGUGGCGCGACCCCGCUGGCAUGCUCCCGGCCUCGGCCUCGGCCUCGGCCUUGGCCUCCGGGCCUCCAGCGCACGCGGGGCGUCCAGGGCCUCAUCUUCCCCUGGGGACCGCCCGGCCGUGUCCCGCUGCCCUCGGCGCAGGGGUGGGAGUUGCAGAGAGGAAGAGUCGCUAACCCGGAGUGUUUCUUAAAACUUGGCUGACCUGUGACCUGCGGAUUUGGAGGCUGAAUUCUCCGAGCACCUGAAGCUACUGCAGGAUAUAAUCUAAGAAAAUAAGGGGAAGAAAACAAGAAAGAGGAAGACAUUGGAUCCAAGAAAUGGGGGAUCUAUCACCUUACAGAUGAAAAGAGAAUCUACAUGAUCUUUGUGAAGGUGAUUUGAGCAUAGCAGCUCUGCAGGAAACCUGGAGAGCAACAAGUGAGAUUAAUACAGGACACACAGCUCUAGAUCUGGCUAGAAACAGCACAAGGCAGCACAGGACUUGAGUCUGAAUCCCUUGCUCUGUCACUUCCUAGCUAUAUAGCUGCAGAUAUGACCUUGGGACUUGCUUUAGCCAGUGGAAUGGAAGCAGAAGUAACCUGUAAUUUCCAGCAUCAAAACUCCUAUCCAUCCACAGUAUGUGAGUGGGAGUGGAAGGCGACAAUAAGCCACACAGAGGGGCCUUGUGUAACUGCUUGGUGCUCAGAGGAUCUGGACAGAAGCAUCUGGGCAGCCUGCCACAGGAAACUUCACAGCAAUGUCAAUAGUCCUGACGAAAACGAACCUUGACUGCUGGGCAAACUGAGAGGGUGGAAGGACAGAAAUGAGCAUCACUUGAAAUCUACUGAUGCCGGAAAAGAUAUUGUAAAGCAAAAUUUAAAAUCAAAAAGUAGUUAAUAAAUUUUGGCCCCUUCUACUGUAUGGGUCUGAAAGACAGCCAUCACUGGUGGUUUGAUACCUGGGGAAGGGGUGAGGGCAGCUUUGAGUGGAGAUGAUCAAGGCAGGUCUGGAGCCCACACUUGGGAGAUGCUUGCAUCUGCAAAAUGAAGAAAGAACUGCAGUCUCAGAGAAAGUGGGCUCUGCUCUCCUCCCCUAAGGAACCAGAGCAGCAGAUGGGUCUCAAGCAGCACUGGACCAGUUUGGCACCUGGUGGGCCAGUUUUCUGCAGCUAAACAAGGACCGGAACAAACAAACAGGGCAUCAGAUGUGGCCCAGAUGCCAGUUCUGUCACUGGGUGUGAAAGCCCAGUGAACGUCACAUUUUGAACUGCAAAAGCUCUGGGACUGCAUAGGUCCCUGGAACAGGAGGAUCCUUAAGAAGAUAUAAAGAGAUACAUGCUUGAAUGAUUAAUAAGGAAAAGAGACUAUUUGUGACAUCAGAUUAAAGCAGUUCAAGCCAGCUCUAUAUCUAUAAAUAUAUAUAAAAUCAAUAUUAACACAUUCAAUUUUUUUUGUAGCUAGUUGGGUGAUAAGGCAACUCAGGAUGGCAUCUGAAUCAGCAUGGUCAAAGAAUUUGGUGUGGUGGGGUAUCUAUGCCUUGAGGGUCUACCAUGUGUCAGAUGGUAGACCCUCAAGACAUGUAGUUAUACAGGCCAGAUGACAUUAAAGUGCUUGACACAUACUUUUUAGCUCCCAGAUUUUGUUGACCUCCUGGUUUUUGUUGCCCUCUGCAAACAAGUGGAUAAAAACAAUUUUGGGACAGAUGACAUUAAGUGCUUGACACAUACUUUUUAGCUCGCAGUUUUUGUUGACCUCCUGGUUUUUGUUGCCCUCUGCAAACAAGUGCAUAAAUACAU